GACGAACGCUGGCGGCGUGCUUAACACAUGCAAGUCGAACGGAAGGGCCCUGCUUUUGUGUGGUGCUCGAGUGGCGAACGGGUGAGUAACACGUGAGUAACCUUCCCUGGACUUUGGGAUAACUGCAGGAAGCUGGUGCUAAUGCCGGAUAGGAGCUCCUGCUGCAGGGUGGGGGUUGGAAAGUUUCGGCGGUUGGGGAUGGACUCGCGGGUUAUCAGCUGGUUGGUGGGGUAGUGGCUUACCAAGGGUUUGACGGGUGGCCGGCCUGAGAGGGUGAACGGCCACAUUGGGACUGAGAUACGGCCCAGACUCCUACGGGAGGCAGCAGUGGGGAAUAUUGUACAAUGGGCGGAAGCGUGAUGCAGAAACGCCGCGUGCGGGAUGACGGCCAUGGGGUUGUAAACCGCUUUAGGCUGUGACGAAGCGGGAGUGACGGUAAUGGCUAAAGAAGCACCGGCUAACUACGUG
rnacentral:rRNA from 1 species